GGGAAUAUUGCACAAUAGGCGAAAGCCUGAUGCAGCGACGCCGCGUGAGUGAAGAAGGCCUUCGGGUCGUAAAGCUCUUUUGUAGGGGAAGAGGAAGGACGGUACCCUAAGAAGAAGCGUCGGCUAACUACGUGCCAGCAGCCGCGGUAAGACGUAGGACGCGAGCGUUAUCCGGAAUUACUGGGCGUAAAGGGCCAGCAGGCGGCUUGGUAAGUUGUGCGUGAAAGCCUCGUGCUCAACGCGAGGAAGCCGGACAAUACUGUCAAGCUAGAGGGCAUCAGAGGGGAAGUGGAAUUCCCGGAGUAGCGGUAAAAUGCGCAGAUAUCGGGAGGAACACCGAUGGCGAAGGCAGCUCCCUGGGAUGCACCUGACGCUAAGAGGCGAAAGCUAGGGGAGCGAACAGGAUUAGAGACCCUGGUAGUCCUAGCUGUAAACGCUGGGUGCUAGGUGUGGGACGUAGAAGUUCCGUGCCGGAGCAAACGCGAUAAGCACCCCGCCUGGGAAUUACGGUCGCAAGGCUAAAACUCAAACGAAUUGACGGGGCCCCGCACAAGCAGCGGAGCGUGUGGUUCAAUUCGAUGCUACACGAAGAACCUUACCUGGGUUUGACAUGUACGUGGUACGAAGGCGAAAGCCUAAGGACCCUUCGGGGAGCGUACACAGGUGCUGCAUGGCUGUCGUCAGCUCGUGCCGUGAGGUGUCGGGUUAAGUCCCGUAACGAGCGCAACCCUUGCCCUUAGUUACAAGUGUCUAAGGGGACUGCCGGCGGGAAGCCGGAGGAAGGUGGGGAUGACGUCAAGUCAGCAUGGCCCUUAUGUCCAGGGCUACACACACGCUACAAUGGUCAGUACAAAGGGUAGCGAAGUCGCGAGGCGGAGCGAAUCUCAACAAAGCUGAUCGUAGUUCGGAUUGCAGGCUGCAACCCGCCUGCAUGAAGCUGGAGUUGCUAGUAACCGCGCGUCAGCCAUAGUGCGGUGAAUACGUACCCGGGGCUUGUACACACCGCCCGUCACGUCAUGGGAGUCGGUAACGCCUGAAGCCGGUAGUCUGGCCCGCAAGGGGGACGCUGUCGAAGGCGGGACUGGCAACUGGGACGAAGU
rnacentral:rRNA from 1 species